GACUGAAGCCGUUGGCAGUUGACUGGGGCUGUUGGCAGUUGACUGGGGUCCAUGGUGGACACAGACAGUUGCAACAAGUGCUGAGAAAGGCUGCUGAGAGCGAGUGAUCCAAGAGGAGCAGGGCCAGAGGUGGGGGCCAAGGAAUAAGUGCCUGGAGACACUCACCCACCAGCAACUGUGACCCGGAGUGAGGAAGAAUCCAACCAUAAAUCUCCCCGGCCGCAGGGUUAGAAGGUUUAGAGCUCAUGAGCCAGGAUGCCCCAGAACAAACCCCUGCCUUGGCCCCCACACAGAUCGCGGGGCUGGGGGGCAGUGUAGGCCACUUCUGCCAUGACAUACAGAUCUGGUCUCUGGAGAUGGAGGCCCCUGAUCUGUCCUCGGGAGAGUCCAGCCUUUGCGGGGCUCAGCUCACCCCUAAGUCCAGGGCUGCUGCUGCUCAGAGCCAGAAGGUCCCCCAUGCUGCGCCACGACAGGUGUGGGAGAAGCGUGGGGUACCCGACUGGACGCAGUUUCCAGUCUUAUGGUGGCUAUUUCCUGACCUGUUUGAGCACAGGCUCCAGUUUUAGAGGGUAUGGAGGACUUCUCUGACUUUAGGUUCUGACAGCUCUGCUUUCUCCACUCCCACCAGGGGAGCUGGGGCCUCAUCACCAGCUCUACCCAGUCCCAGGAAGCCCCUUUUUAUUUUUUUGUUUUAUGACUACUUCUCUUCUUAUUCAUCCUUGGGGUCAGUUGUGCUCCCUAUGUUUGUUCAUGUCUUCCUGCAUCAACAUUUUGGGGGUGCCCCCGCACCCUAAGAGUACACUAGCACUCUGGCCAAUGGGACAAUAGCAAAGGUGAGAAAGCAAAUCUGAGAAGUGCCUGCAGCUCCUGGAAACCUGCUUCCCUAAGAGCAGCCCUGACUGUUCUGACGACGUGACCCAGCCCCCCAAAGACCCAAGUGACAGAAAGCCAUCGGGCGUUCUCUUCCUCCUCCCAGCCCAUCUGCCACCCGUCCUCAGACAUUAUCGUUACUUGGGCCAUCAGAUGUGGGCCUAAGAAGGCAGCCCUAGGAAAUCUGGAAGACAUGGGUCAUCAGUCCAUGUGCUCCCCUCCGUAAGCGCCCUGCUUUCAGCCGCCCCAGGGCUGGCCGGCAGCGCCCGCCUCCUCUGAUUGACCUUCUCAUGCAAGGAACUUCUGAAAACUAAAAUGAAGCUAAUGGAGAAAUUAAGUUUUUAGCAGUUAUCCCCAGAGAUUGCCUGAUAAGAAUCCAGCCAGAAGCACAUCCAUUCUGUAAACAAAGUUUUAGGAAACGGGAGUUUCCUGACAACUUGACACGGGAGACUGGACCUGCACAGGAGUCUUGCCCUCUAGGGAGUGAGGAUACAUUCUUCCCGAGCCUUUCACCUGUCUCCGGCUGGACCCCAUAUGAAAGAUUAAUAGAUUAUUGCUGGCAGAAAGGACCUGAAGACACUUCCUAGGACACUGGGAGAAUGCUUUCAGAAGGGUUCAGCCUUGCAACCUCCUCCUGCAUAUUCAAAUGAAACAGAACUUGACAGGAGUGACUUACACCUGCUCCCCCGGCAGCAGCUGAGAUGGUCGGAUCAAGACUGAAUGAAUCACUUUUAAUACAGAUGACCCACGUGGUCCCGGCCAGUUUCUCUUCCAAGUGCGCUUCUCUCAGCCUUGGUGUCCUCCGUGAAAGAUGGCUGAGUUCGCAGGACAAAUGUCCUAAGAGAUUGAGAUAUGAGGAGGAGGCUGCUAUUAUGCCAUAGCAUGGGAAAUCACGUAGCAUCACUUUGCCUGCCUUAUUGACCAAAGGAUCAUAAAGUUCAGCCAGGCUGGGGGAGGGUGUGGUGCAGGGGGACUUAGGGGUGAGGGUGAGAGAGAUCAUCACGGAAGGUCACACUGUAAGGCAAGCCACGGGGUGAGAGACAUUCUGGCCCUAAUGUUGGUGCUGUAACCUCUCUCACUCCCAUUCAUGGAACACUUUAUCUUCUACUUGUCCCUUAGGCUCUUCAUAUUUUUUAAUGCUUUUAUUUUGCUUAGUUUUUAUCCCAUAAAUUAGAUAUUUUAUUAAUCUCUAUAAUGCUUGCCACCAAGAUAUGCAGCUCUAAAGAAUAUAGCUUACCUUGCCUGUUUUUGAAUUUUUUACAAAUGGAAUCACAUAUGAGUUAACAUAAUUUAUGUUAACUCCUCUUUUGCCCAAAGUUGCUUAUGAGAUUUAUGCAGGUCAUUCCGUGCAGCUGUGCUUUGUUCACUUUCAUUGCUGCUGGGAGCUCUAUGAUAUACAUGGAGGACAGCUUGUCAGCUGGGCUGUGGAUGGCCUUUAGGUCAUUUCCAGGUUUGUUGAUUAGAAUUCUUGGUUACAUAUUCUAGGGUAGAUGUGUGUGAGUUCCUUUGGUAUAUACCCCCAAGAGGGGGUAGACAGAUGCUUGUGUCACUAAAUAAUGCCAAAACCUAUAAAUAUAUUCUCCCACCAGCCAGUAGGAGUUCUUAUUCCAAAGCCCUAUUGCCAUAAUCUGAUUUUACCAGGCUUUUUUUCUUAUUUAUGGGAAGCUUGUGAUGGCAAACUUUCACUCCUACUUUGAUCUCACCUUCCUGCAUGCCAUCUUUCCAAGGAGCAAGAGAGUGACCUGCUUCAGAGUGUGCCUCUUCAGAUGCAUGAUUCCAAACUGCUUGACUCGGUUGUAUAGAAGUGUAUGGCUGAGUAUAUUGCAGGCCAGAAGCUGAAUGUGCCUACGUUAGCAAAACUCUGGAUCCUUCCAUUUCUGUUUUCAAACCAGCUACAGUCAGCUGGAAUUAUUGCUUCUCACAGGACUUUGUUUAAAGCAGUCAAAAAAUUGUGUGAACAUAAGUCAUCAUUCUUGAUAUUUCCGACCACUUUCUAAUACCCUAGAUUUGGUCAAAUCUGGUCUACUCCCCACCCUACCCCCUAAGUUAUGCAGUCCUCAACCCUGACCAAACAUUUUACCAUCCUGUAACAUGAGGCACCAAUUUCUUAACCUGUGCCCAGCAAAAAUCAGGGGAUCUAUUACUAUGGAAGAAGGGAGGAUGGACAUUGGUAGAUCGCUGGCACUCUUGGUCACAGUUUCCUUCUGGGAUCACUUUUUUCUGUAUUUGGUUUUUUACCAGAAAAGUCAAUUGCCCUAAUUCUUGAAUAACAGAGCUGGGUUAACCUUUUUUUCUCAAAAAAGGUCUGCUGUCUUCUGUCGAUACUGGUGGGGAACAGUCAGCGUCGUCCUUUUUCUCUUUGGUUGCUUUCAAGAAUUUUUUUUUAGUGUGUCCAUGAUUCCUCAACAAUGUAACUGAGAGCAGGUUCUUAGUCUUUUCUCUUUGAUAAUGUCUGUCUGCUCUCCCUCUGGAACUGUAAUGAGGUGUUUGACUUUCUCAUUUAACUUCCCUUUCUAUUUUCUAUCCUAUCUCUCUGCUGCUUGUGAGUAAUUUCUUCAUAUAAUUUUCUACCCACCAGAUCCCUCUUUAACAGUGUCUUAUUUCAUUAGCCCAUUGUGUUUUAAAUUUGGUAUUUUUUCAUUUCUCAAUCACAAAAGCACAGAGGAUUUGUAAUUAAACUCUACUUUGAGAAAACAGUUUACCUAACAGAAGUACUGCUAUAGGAAUUGAUACACAUGAAUACAAAACAAAAUUCUCCAUAAGGGAUUUUGAAACAAAAGUCAAACCAGCCCACUGAUUCCUUUUAGGCUGGAAAGCCUGUGAUUCCUCUGUGCAGGGUCAUCCCACGUGUGGCCAGGAUGGUCUGGAAUUUCCCCUUGUAAAUCAUAAAUGGAAGAUGUCCCUUGGGUUGGGUUAGGGUAUUGCAUGGAAGAAAACACCAAGGUCCAUGGCUAAAGAGAUGGUAAGGGCCUGACAGUGGGGACAUGAUAACACUUGUUACUUCUGACAGUGCUGGGGCUCUUUGCACGCAUGUGAACUGAGACAGCCACUCGGAGAGGGAAGAGUGCCCCUUGGGCCAUUGUCUUCCUCUGAGGGCACAGUAGGGAGAACUGCAGUCGAUGACUGCAGAUACAGCCUUUCCUGGUUCCGACUCAUUUCCAGAGAUAGCUAAAAGAAAACUUAGGUGAGUUUUCCACGGGUUGGGCAGUGGAGGUCUGCACCCUUCACAUGACAUGGGCUUCAAGAAACUCCAUGGCUUCUGGUCAAGAUCCCCAGCUCCCCAUGAGGAUAGAACCCCUCUCAGCUCCACUUGAUGAGGCUGGUCUGACACUGCUCCUUCCAGAGGGAUUUCUUUGCUCUCUUGUGAUUCUCCCCAAUGAUUCUUUUCCUUUGUGUCUUUCUUCUACCCUGAUACCAAUGGUUCUUGCUUUAUACAAGCUUAGUGUUUCUCUCAUCCUCACUUCCGUCUUGCUAAAAAGGUUACUUGUUAACCCAUAAGUUAUUUGCCUCCCCAUUCAAAAUCCAACGGCUGGAGGUCACAAGCUUGGUUUCCAUCCACUGCUCUAUACCCAGAACACAGAAUAGUGUCUGGUCCAGAGUAAGUGCUUAAUAAAUAUUUGUUGAAUUCUUAAUUUUACUUUUCUUUGCAAAGGUAGAAUUGGAUCAUUCUUAGAUCAUUCCUAAGUGAAAUCCCUGAACUUAGCAUCUGUAGAACUGUAGCAGGCUCUUCUCUACUAAAUGGGUCCAAUGUUUGGCAUGUUGGUUUGGAGCAGGUUUUUCAUGGAAUUUAAUGACCUCAUCUCUGACUUGCAUAAAAGGUCUGGAUUACUGAGGCAAUACUGACAUUUACUAUUGGAAAUCUGAUUUAGAACAUGGGUUGAGCUGUUCCAACAGGAUCCCUUAUAGUAGUGUCUUAAAAGCGUAACAUUUAAAAUAUCUCUUGCUUAUCAAAAGCAAGAAUAAGUUUAUCAAAAGAAACAUAAAACCUCUGGCAAAAAUUUAAAAUGUUAUUGAGAGAGGGGCAUAAAUAGGAGAAACUGGUAAGAUAUAUAGACUGUUCAUGGAUGGAAAACUCGAUACUGCCCGUCAGUUGUUACUGCUCUAAAUAAUCGAGUCCAACCCCAACUGUACUGGUUGGCUGAAAAAUGGGACAAUGUAAAAAGAUGAGUAAUAGCCAAGACUCUCUUGAAGAGGAGGAAGGUAGGAGGAAUGCCUUACCCCUUGCCACAGUUUCUAAAACUGCAGGAAGGAGGACAGUGUAGCAUUGGCUCAGGGGCAGACUCAUAGAGCAGGGGAGGGAGAAUAGAGGCCGGACCAGACUCUACCUGGAUGGACCUUGGAAUUUUGCAGCAGCAAUUCUGAGCAGUGAAGAAAAGACAGUGUUUUCAACAGAAAGUGCUGAGGCUUGUGGCUGUUUUCACAGGAUUUUGUGUGUGGCUGUGAAAGUUUGUUAACUGGUGGAGUUAGUUUAAAACCUGCAAAUGGGAGAUUGUAGGAACAACCCAAGUGGUGACUGUGGCUCAUGGAUGUAUGACUAUGCAGGCUUAGAAUUGGCUGGGCAACUAGCAAUGGAAAGAACAAACAUAACAUGGAGGGGAAGAAACACGCCACACAAGAAGAUAUGCUAUGAUUCCAUUUGUAGGAAGCUCAAAACCAAACGGCAGCUCAACAAUUCUUGAUUGGAAGGAAAUUGUUAGGUAAAUCAGUCAAACCAUCAAGGGAUUGCAGGAGUUCUGUGACUUCAGAGAGGGCUCCUUUCCAUUUCAAAAUAUGCACGAUGGCUAGAUGCUCUAACUCAAUUCUGGAAUACACAGAUGUCUGUCAUCAUCUGCAUGUAUGAUGCAUUUUAAAUUUUAAUGGUACUGUACCCAGAUAACGUGAUAGAGAAUGCGCACUUGCUACAUGCCAGACCCAGGCUAAUUACUGUGCACAGCAAUCCCUGAAUCACAACAGCUCCAUGAUUAUCCCUGUUUGAUGGUGAAGACACUUGGGGAGUUGGAGACAUCUUCUCUUGCCCAGAACCACACACUUGGUAUGGGCUGGGCAGGACACGUCUGAUUCCAAAGCCCAGACUCUGUCUGUCUCACUGUGCAGCUCGUCAGCAGUAUUACAAUAGCCAGAGCCCCACACAGACCGCCUGAUAUGUGGACCACGGCCCACACUAGACCCAGUAUCACCCAUACUCACCUGACGACAACCCCAGGGAACCUUCAGAGUGCAGCAUGUCCUCCGAAUACCCAGUGAGCCUGCAACUUUGAUGCAGAGGAUGUACAACAUCCUGAAGUUGAAAGCCAGUGGCACAAACCCCCGUGAAGUGAGCUGUGUCCAAGAAUGGGCACCUCAACUCUCAUUGCUAAAUGCAAUUUACCUCCCCAGCUCUUUCCUAAAUACUUAUUGUCUCCAACAUUAUUCUUAACCACUUUAUUCACAAGUACUUAGUAGUACCAAUGUACCAAGUGCCAGGUUCUCUAUUAGGCUGAUUUCAAUAGGGAUUCUGAUUCUGGUAUUAAUGGACCUUGUACAAGGGAUGUAUUCGGAAAAUAUAUGCUUGUCGCCCCCUCCCAUGGAAGCAGCUCCUAAUGUACUUAGGAAAGGGCAAGAAAGGGGGAUCUUUACAAAGUUCUGUAUGGGAUUCAGUUUCUUUAAGCUGUUUUAGCUUAGAAGUUCCUAGAAGCUUUGAAGACAAAGCCCCACAAAUGCACGGAGCUGGUAAUUGUGAAUGAACAAAUCUCUUAUGACACGUUCUUUCUCCAAUAAAAUAAAAAUUUAAAAAUCCUGGCCAUGUAUUAUUCACAGCAAGACCUUUUC